UACGUAGGGUGCAAGCGUUUGUCCGGAAUUAUUGGGCGUAAAGAGCUCGUAGGCGGUUCGUCGCGUCGGCUGUGAAAUCCCGAGGCUCAACCUCGGGUCUGCAGUCGAUACGGGCGGACUGGAGUUCGGCAGGGGAGACUGGAAUUCCUGGUGUAGCGGUGAAAUGCGCAGAUAUCAGGAGGAACACCGGUGGCGAAGGCGGGUCUCUGGGCCGAUACUGACACUGAGGAGCGAAAGCGUGGGGAGCGAACAGG
rnacentral:rRNA from 1 species